AUUAGAGUUUGAUCAUGGCUCAGAAUGAACAAUGGCGGCAUGCCUAACACAUGCAAGUCGAACGAAGGCUUCGGCCUUAGUGGCGCACGGGUGCGUAACGCGUGGGAAUCUGCCCUCAGGUUCGGAAUAACAGCGAGAAAUUGCUGCUAAUACCGGAUGAUAUCGCGAGAUCAAAGAUUUAUCGCCUGAGGAUGAGCCCGCGUAGGAUUAGCUAGUUGGUGUGGUAAAGGCGCACCAAGGCGACGAUCCUUAGCUGGUCUGAGAGGAUGAUCAGCCACACUGGGACUGAGACACGGCCCAGACUCCUACGGGAGGCAGCAGUGGGGAAUAUUGGACAAUGGGCGAAAGCCUGAUCCAGCAAUGCCGCGUGAGUGAUGAAGGCCUUAGGGUUGUAAAGCUCUUUUACCCGGGAUGAUAAUGACAGUACCGGGAGAAUAAGCUCCGGCUAACUCCGUGCCAGCAGCCGCGGUAAUAAUC
rnacentral:rRNA from 1 species